rnacentral:piRNA from 1 species
UUCAAAGAACUGUGUGGUUUAGGUGU